ensembl:lncRNA
UCUUUCCUUGUGGUGUGUAUUUCCUAUCAUUUCAAGGUCUCCGCAGCGCGUUCGGGGACCAGCACAGAAAGCUGACCGCAACGCAGGGAGAAAUGCUCGUUGUAAAGUGUGAUGUUGGGGGCACCAACAUCACCUGGACCCAUCACCACCCCUCAGAGAGCCAGCGGCCCCUGUUGCAGAGUCGUGAAGACCCGGACGAGGACGCCCUGGGGACCCCAGCGGGCACUUGGUGGUGCUGAGUGCGUCCGUGGAGAGGCAGGGCAACUACUCCUGCUCCCCGUGGAAUUCCAACGCCACCUGUUGGUACACUUUGACUGUGAGCC